GAAAGGGUGGCUAAUACCGCAUGAGACCUGAGGGUGAAAGCGGGGGAUCGUAAGACCUCGCGCAAUUGGAGCGGCCGAUGCCCGAUUAGCUAGUUGGUGAGGUAAAGGCUCACCAAGGCGACGAUCGGUAGCUGGUCUGAGAGGACGACCAGCCACACUGGGACUGAGACACGGCCCAGACUCCUACGGGAGGCAGCAGUGGGGAAUUUUGGACAAUGGGGGCAACCCUGAUCCAGCCAUGCCGCGUGCAGGAUGAAGGCCUUCGGGUUGUAAACUGCUUUUGUCAGGGACGAAAAGGACCGUGUUAAUACCAUGGUCUGCUGACGGUACCUGAAGAAUAAGCACCGGCUAACUACGUGCCAGCAGCCGCGGUAAUACGUAGGGUGCAAGCGUUAAUCGGAAUUACUGGGCGUAAAGCGUGCGCAGGCGGUUCUGUAAGACAGAUGUGAAAUCCCCGGGCUCAACCUGGGAAUUGCAUUUGUGACUGCAGGACUAGAGUUCAUCAGAGGGGGGUGGAAUUCCAAGUGUAGCAGUGAAAUGCGUAGAUAUUUGGAAGAACACCAAUGGCGAAGGCAGCCCCCUGGGAUGCGACUGACGCUCAUGCACGAAAGCAUGGGGAGCAAACAGGAUUAGAUACCCUGGUAGUCCACGCCCUAAACGAUGUCUACUGGUUGUUGGGGUUUAUUAACCUUGGUAAC
rnacentral:rRNA from 1 species